GAUGAACGCUGGCGGCGUGCCUAAUACAUGCAAGUCGAGCGAACAGACGAGGAGCUUGCUCCUCUGACGUUAGCGGCGGACGGGUGAGUAACACGUGGAUAACCUACCUAUAAGACUGGGAUAACUUCGGGAAACCGGAGUUAAUACCGGAUAAUAUAUUGAACCGCAUGGUUCAAUAGUGAAAGACGGUUUUGCUGUCACUUAUAGAUGGAUCCGCGCCGCAUUAGCUAGUUGGUAAGGUAACGGCUUACCAAGGCAACGAUGCGUAGCCGACCUGAGAGGGUGAUCGGCCACACUGGAGCUGAGACACGGUCCAGACUCCUACGGGAGGCAGCAGUAGGGAAUCUUCCGCAAUGGGCGAAAGCCUGACGGAGCAACGCCGCGUGAGUGAUGAAGGUCUUCGGAUCGUAAAACUCUGUUAUUAGGGAAGAACAAAUGUGUAAGUAACUAUGCACGUCUUGACGGUACCUAAUCAGAAAGCCACGGCUAACUACGUG
rnacentral:rRNA from 1 species